rnacentral:rRNA from 1 species
UACGGGGGGGGCAAGCGUUGUUCGGAAUUACUGGGCGUAAAGGGUUCGUAGGUGGCUUGCUAAGUCAGACGUGAAAUCCCUCAGCUUAACUGGGGAACUGCGUCUGAUACUGGCGAGCUUGAGUGCAGGAGAGGAACGCAGAAUUCCAGGUGUAGCGGUGAAAUGCGUAGAUAUCUGGAGGAAUACCGGUGGCUAAGGCGGCGUUCUGGACUGCAACUGACACUGAUGAACGAAAGCCAGGGGAGCAAACGGG